rnacentral:rRNA from 1 species
CAGUCGCCGCGGUAAUACGUAGGGUGCGAGCGUUAAUCGGAAUUACUGGGCGUAAAGCGUGCGCAGGCGGUCUUGUAAGACAGGCGUGAAAUCCCCGGGCUCAACCUGGGAAUGGCGCUUGUGACUGCAAAGCUAGAGUGCGGCAGAGGGGGAUGGAAUUCCGCGUGUAGCAGUGAAAUGCGUAGAUAUGCGGAGGAACACCGAUGGCGAAGGCAAUCCCCUGGGCCUGCACUGACGCUCAUGCACGAAAGCGUGGGGAGCAAACAGGAUUAGAUACCCGCGUAGUCCCUGUCUCUUAUAC